rnacentral:rRNA from 1 species
GACGGGGGAUGCAAGCGUUAUCCGGAAUGAUUGGGCGUAAAGGGUCCGCAGGUGGCCCGGUACAGUCCGGCUGUCAAAGCCUGGGGCUCAACCCUGGAGAGGCGGCGGAGACCACCGGGCGUUGAGUCCGGUAGGGGCAGAGGGAAUUCCCGGUGGAGCGGUGAAAUGCGUAGAGAUCGGGAAGAACGCCAAGGGCGAAGGCACUCUGCUAGGCCUGAUUUCGCGACUGACACUCAGGGACGAGGAGCCAAGGGGAGCGAAUGGG